UGCAGACGAAGAAGGGGAGAGAAGAAAAGAAGGAGCUGUAGAGUUUACCGUUCGCAGUUUGUGAACUUUAACUUGCUGUUUGCAAUUUAUUGUCACCUUCCGUUGAUGUGUGUGCGUGGAUAUCCGAAACCACACCGUUACAUCAAGUUAGGGAAUAAACCGCAAGUUAAAACCAUUGGAGUGAAACUCUGUUUUCUUCGGAGUUCUAACCGGACUCACCACAGCGAUCUGAACUUUUCCACCAGCAAUUAUAAUCCCUAUUCUUUACAACUAAUGCAACUAUUUGCACAAUUUAUUUAAUUAGACUGAGCAGGCUGGAGGAAGCUGAGGUCCUUCAAGGUUUUAACCAGGACCUUGCAGAUCUUCUUUAAGUCUGUUAGAGCAUCAUCUUUCUGCCAUCAUCUGUUGGAGCAGCAGCAUCAGAGCAGGACCUAAAAAGGCUCAACAGUCUGAUAAAGAGUUCUGGUUCUGUUCUGGGGACCACUGUGGGACCUCUGCAGAUGACAAUGUAAAGGAGGAUUCUUCAUAAAAUCAAGAAAAUAAUGGACAAUCCUAACUAUCCUCUUCAUUAGACUGUCUGAAGGCACAGAUCUUCAGAUUUACUGUAAUACAGAUUACAAUAGCAGGUCUUUACUGCCAACAGCUAUCAUGAUCUACAAUGACUUUUGAAGAAUCUGAAUUAAUUUGAGUUACAACAAGAUUUAAUUUCCCUUUAGGAUCAAUGAAGUAUCUUUGAAUUUGAAUCUGAACUGAGCUUGAGGUUGUUCUUCUGUUUAACUAUGUAAUUUGUUGUAUGGAUGGUUGUGUUGUAGUUACUGCUUGAUGAUUAUCUAUGUCUCAAUGUUUAUACUGAGGAUUAAAUAAUAAAUUAACAUACAGACUAUA